UGUGGGGUUGUGGAUACUGUGGUUAUUAGUUGUGGGUUAGAUACUAACCCGGUGGACCCUUUAUAGGUCCUGUCGACAUUCUUUUGCAGUCAGGAGACAGACGCGACAUCCUUACAGGUGGGUACUUCGAUCCGACGUCGGUACAGUGGUGCACGCUUGGUGAUGGUUUCUUACCCUUACUCUUCUGUUGUUACUAUCGCAUAGUAUAUUGAGCCUUGCACCCUUGUUUAUUCGUUAUACACUACUCGUUGUUUGCAUGCUUAGUAUCCCGAGUAGGAGUAGAGCAGUUCUAUCUAUAUGCGUAUCUGUUGACCUAGUUGGUCUGUUGUUGCAU
rnacentral:lncRNA from 1 species